rnacentral:misc_RNA from 1 species
GACAUUAGCAGAGGAGACUUGUGACUGUACAUAAGUAUGAUAGACAAAGGAUAAACAUAACGAUUGCAGAAAUAACAUGAAGUUCUUAAACAAAACAAAUCAAAAUCUAGGGAUGAAAACAGGGUCCUCCACGCUUGACUCUUCAGUGCUAUGUUUCGCAAAACACUCAUAACUCAUAAUAAAAUCCCCACACAACUUCCACUACAAGAAGAAAGGACUUCCAAAUCCCAUCAAACAAGAACUCUGAAUCAAAAUGUCUCUGCCAUGUAUCCAAAAUAUGGCAUUCAGAUUUAAAAUUUACUUUUUAAAGCAGAAAACUUCUAUGAAUAUUGGCAUUGUCUAAUUUCUAAAUUUAACUAAGUAUAAGACUGUUAAAUAAGAGAUUUUUGUGCUGUCCACAGAUGACAUGAAAAUGCUUAAAGGGCAUUAACUUUCCUAACUUGUAUUAGGCCAAAAGAAAAGUCCCACACGACAACUGAAUGCACUGUCAAUCCUGGCAAAUGAAGACAUUUGUUUAAAAAAUUUGUUUUCUUGAGAAUCAUGGUUAAAAAGAUUUCUCCAAUUGGGUGACUCUAAAAACUUCUUUUUUAAAAGAAUUUAGUUCAUUUUAAGCACUAUCCAUCCUAGCAAAUGAAGCAACCAAACAACUGAGUGUAUUGAGUAAGUGUUUGGUUCACCUUUUAGGUACAACUGAUAGAUGAUAAACACCAAAUAGGUGAACCAAGGUGUUUAGUAAACUUCAAAACAAUAGAAUAGAGCUCUCACAUAAUUGAUAUGAUAUCCACCAACGGCGAUAGAUUGUAUCAACUCUAUUCUCUAUUCUUAAAAUUCUCUAUUCUUAAAAUUCUCUAUUUUUAAAGUUAUUACUCAUCAGCUGAUUUUAUAAUUUAUAUAGAUCAUAUUAUCAUUUUUUCAUGUAACUAAAAAAUCAAUAUUAUUAAUAUUGUUUGCUUUUAACUUUUUGGUUUACAAUCUUAACAUCUUAAUUAGCAGGUAGCAAAUUCAUUUCAAUAUUUUCUAUUUGAUAACAUAAAAU